rnacentral:rRNA from 2 species
AGCAGCUAUCAUGCAGUCGAGCGAACUGAUUAGAAGCUUGCUUCUAUGACGUUAGCGGCGGACGGGUGAGUAACACGUGGGCAACCUGCCUGUAAGACUGGGAUAACUUCGGGAAACCGAAGCUAAUACCGGAUAGGAUCUUCUCCUUCAUGGGAGAUGAUUGAAAGAUGGUUUCGGCUAUCACUUACAGAUGGGCCCGCGGUGCAUUAGCUAGUUGGUGAGGUAACGGCUCACCAAGGCAACGAUGCAUAGCCGACCUGAGAGGGUGAUCGGCCACACUGGGACUGAGACACGGCCCAGACUCCUACGGGAGGCAGCAGUAGGGAAUCUUCCGCAAUGGACGAAAGUCUGACGGAGCAACGCCGCGUGAGUGAUGAAGGCUUUCGGGUCGUAAAACUCUGUUGUUAGGGAAGAACAAGUACGAGAGUAACUGCUCGUACCUUGACGGUACCUAACCAGAAAGCCACGGCUAACUACGUGCCAGCAGCCGCGGUAAUACGUAGGUGGCAAGCGUUAUCCGGAAUUAUUGGGCGUAAAGCGCGCGCAGGCGGUUUCUUAAGUCUGAUGUGAAAGCCCACGGCUCAACCGUGGAGGGUCAUUGGAAACUGGGGAACUUGAGUGCAGAAGAGAAAAGCGGAAUUCCACGUGUAGCGGUGAAAUGCGUAGAGAUGUGGAGGAACACCAGUGGCGAAGGCGGCUUUUUGGUCUGUAACUGACGCUGAGGCGCGAAAGCGUGGGGAGCAAACAGGAUUAGAUACCCUGGUAGUCCACGCCGUAAACGAUGAGUGCUAAGUGUUAGAGGGUUUCCGCCCUUUAGUGCUGCAGCUAACGCAUUAAGCACUCCGCCUGGGGAGUACGGUCGCAAGACUGAAACUCAAAGGAAUUGACGGGGGCCCGCACAAGCGGUGGAGCAUGUGGGUUUAAUUCGAAGCAACGCGAAGAACCUUACCAGGUCUUGACAUCCUCUGACAACUCUAGAGAUAGAGCGUUCCCCUUUCGGGGACAGAGUGACAGGUGGUGCAUGUGUCGUCAGCUCGUGUCGUGAGAAUGUUGGGGUAGGUCCGCACGAGCGCACGUGAUCUUAAGUGCAGCAUUUAGUGGUACUCUAGUGACUGCCGUGACAACCGAGAGUAGAUGACGCUCAUCAUCAUGCCCUAAUGAACCUGGGGCUUA